rnacentral:rRNA from 1 species
GACGAACGCUGGCGGCGAGCUUAACACAUGCAAGUCGAACGGAAAGGCCCCUUUGGGGGUACUCGAGUGGCGAACGGGUGAGUAACACGUGAGUAACCUGCCCUUGACUUCGGGAUAACUUCAGGAAACUGGGGCUAAUACCGGAUAGGAAUCCUUGCUGCAUGGUGGGGGUUGGAAAGCUUCGGCGGUUUUGGAUGGACUCGCGGCUUAUCAGCUUGUUGGUGGGGUAGUGGCUUACCAAGGCUUUGACGGGUAGCCGGCCUGAGAGGGCGACCGGCCACAUUGGGACUGAGAUACGGCCCAGACUCCUACGGGAGGCAGCAGUGGGGAAUAUUGCACAAUGGGCGGAAGCCUGAUGCAGCAACGCCGCGUGCGGGAUGACGGCCUUCGGGUUGUAAACCGCUUUCAGCAGGGGCGAAGCUUGUGGUGACGGUACCUGCAGAAGAAGCACCGGCUAACUACGUG